rnacentral:lncRNA from 1 species
CAUAUUUCUCAAUCUAACGCUUGAUGUAUCCAAAUGGUCAGUGUGCUAGCCGGUAUCAGGCAAAACUGGAUCUUAAAAACAACUAUAUCUAAAGGAAAUCAUUUACAACACCCACUAUCAUUGUUUAAUUCAAGCUAUAAUAAAACAAAAUCACAAAAUACAAAUCAAACUGACAUCAAAUUAGCAUAGGUACUUCCCCAAGCCAUAGCACUAAACUUUAAGAAGCAAUGUGUCAUCCUCAGUCAGCUACACGUACAUACAUGCACCAUCAGCACCUCAAUCAUGCAUUAGCGCUAAUCCAGUCAGAAACAAGAGCACAAUACUUCCAUCUCCGUUCGAUGCUCAAUUGGUAGCUCGCAGACAAGUUGGCACCUAUUAAGUUAUGAAAUAGCAAGUCUUAUUUCUUUAAUAAUCACAACAUUCAGAUUAUGGGUGUGAGAUGUUAGAUGAUAAUACUAUUUCCUUUUAAAUUUUAAGGAAAUAUAUGAAUUAGAAACAAUGCUAAAUAAAACACCAACGCUGGUAAUGAGUCUUUGAUACAUGAACAUGAAAUAUCCCAAGCCAUGCUAAACAAAACAUCAGCACUGGUAAUGAAAGUGAAAUCCUCUAGUGGAAAUGAAAACUAUAACACAGGAAGUAAGAUCAGAUUUCAACUUUAUCAAUCUAAAUAGUGAAGUUUACUUUAAUGACCUCAACAGUCAAGAUCCCCUCUUCCAGUAUCCUUGAAACAAAAACAUAAAACUACUUUUGACUUUGUACUGCAUGAAAAUGGGAUCACAAAGGCAGAGGAGGAAAUAAUAUAAGACUCAUUAAC